rnacentral:rRNA from 1 species
CCCUUAGAUGUCCUGGGCCGCACGUGUGCUACACUGACACUUGCAACGAGUACUUUGCUUUACCGAAAGGUAAUGCUAAUCAUCAAUAAGUGUCGUGAUGGGGAUAGAUCUUUGGAAUUAUGGAUCUUGAACGAGGAAUGCCUAGUAAGCGUAGGUCAUUAGCCUACGCUGAUUAAGUCCCUGCCCUUUGUACACACCGCCCGUCGCUCCUACCGAUUUCGAGUGGUCCGGUGAAACUUUUGGACCGUGCGACUUUAUUGUUGUCACGGAAAGUCAGUUAAACCAUACUACUUAGAGGAAGGAGAAGUCGUAACA